rnacentral:rRNA from 1 species
UACGUAGGUGGCAAGCGUUGUCCGGAUUUACUGGGCGUAAAGAGCGCGCAGGCGGUCGUUCAAGUCGCGUGUGAAAGCCCCCGGCUCAACUGGGGAGGGUCACGCGAUACUGAUCGACUCGAAGGCAGGAGAGGGUAGUGGAAUUCCCGGUGUAGUGGUGAAAUGCGCAGAUAUCAGGAGGAACACCGGUGGCGAAGGCGGUUCUCUGGGCAUUACCUGACGCUGAGGAGCGAAAGUGUGGGGAGCGAACAGG